AUCCAAAAUGACUCUCGGCAACGGAUAUCUCGGCUCUCGCAUCGAUGAAGAACGUAGCGAAAUGCGAUACUUGGUGUGAAUUGCAGAAUCCCGUGAACCAUCGAGUCUUUGAACGCAAGUUGCGCCCGAAGCCAUUAGGCCGAGGGCACGCCUGCCUGGGUGUCGCAC
rnacentral:rRNA from 1 species